UUUCCGUAGGUGAACCUGCGGAAGGAUCAUUAUUGGAUUUUGAAACUUCAGGCUGCUGCUGGCUCUCCUCGGAGGGCAUGUGCACGCUUGUUGUCCAUUAUUUCUCCCACUGUGCACAAAUUGUAGACCUUUCAGUAGGCCUAUGUUGUUUUUCACAAUCUCUGAAUGUAAUAGAAUGGUUUUGAAUCUUGGGAAAUACAAUACAACUUUCAGCAACGGAUCUCUUGGCUCUCGCAUCGAUGAAGACGCAGC
rnacentral:misc_RNA from 1 species